UAGUAGCUCUAGCAAUAGCCAACUAACACUAAAUCCGAGUCCUUUCUCAUUGGUUACCUUAGCUUAGGAUCCGGUGCGAUCUUUAGCAUCUUAUGCUAUCCUUCAUUCCGAAAGAUCAUUGAGGAACAUAAAUCUUUCAAGUUUCUUCCCUAAGUGAUGGGAAAAGUGCCAACAGCUGUUGUAAAGUGAUCGGUAAAACUAACAAAGUUCGGAAGUAACAAUUUAUUGUAUUACGUAUGAGCUUAGUUUCCUGACUCAAAAUAUGAGAGAAGACAUUAGAACUUAUUUAGUGGAGACUGGUGAGAUAUGCAGAUUGAAGGACUUUGUGAAAAGAAGAUUGACAGAACAUGAUUGGAGAGGAGAAAUGAAAACUUAUUGCAGAGGUUGCUGAUUUUUUUUUUUU